UACAGCCGUAAACACUUCAGACUAAAUUUUAAAGGAAGUCUUUAGGAUUCAAAAUAUGGUGACAGGAGCAACUGUGAAAUGGAUUGACCCCAAUGUGCAUUUUUGGCUGUGGCUGGGUUUGAAUCCACACCUCUGGCAUAAGGGGCCUGCGCCCUACUCCU